rnacentral:rRNA from 1 species
AACGAACGCUGGCGGCAUGCCUAACACAUGCAAGUCGAACGGCACCUCCGUGACUAGUUGCUCUCGGGUGCGUAGCGCGUGGGAACCUGCCCUUAGGUUCCGAAUAACUCCCUUUAGGGGGUGCUAAUGCCGGAUAAUGUCCUCGGACCAAAGAUUUAUCGCCUUUGGAUGGGCCCGCGUUGGAUUAACCAGUUGGUAGGGUAAGAGCCUACCAAGGCGUGGAUCCAUAGCUGGUCUGAGAGGAUGAGCCGCCACACUGGGGAUCAGACCCGGCCCAGAAUCCUACGCGAGGGAGGCGAGGGUAAUACAGGACAACGGGGUAAAGGCUGAUCCAGCACUGCCGGGUAAGUCAUGAAGGCGGUAGGGUUGUAAAGCUCUUUUACCCGGGAUGAUAAUGACGGUACCGCGAGAAUAAGCACCGGCUAACUCCGUG